rnacentral:rRNA from 1 species
AAUCAACGCUGGCGGCGUGCCUCAGACAUGCAAGUCGAACGCGAAAUUUCCCUUCGGGGAGAAAGUAGAGUGGCGCACGGGUGAGUAACACGUAGGUAAUUUGCCUUUGGGUGGGGAAUAACUCAGGGAAACUUGAGCUAAUACCGCAUAAUGCAGCGGCUCGACAUCGAGACAGUUGUUAAAGCGGGGGAUUGGAGCAAUCCGACCUCGCGCCUAAAGAGAAGCCUGCGGCAGAUUAGCUAGUUGGUAAGGUAAUGGCUUACCAAGGCGACGAUCUGUAACCGGCCUGAGAGGGCGGUCGGUCACACUGACACUGACAUACGGGUCAGACUCCUACGGGAGGCAGCAGUCGGGAAUUUUGGGCAAUGGGCGCAAGCCUGACCCAGCAACGCCGCGUGAAGGAUGAAAUUUUUCGGAAUGUAAACUUCGCAAGAACAGGAAGAAUAAGUGUGGGACAAUA